ACUGCCGCCGGACCUGUCUACCUCCCUCAUCUUGUGUAUCUUUUUGCGUUCUUUCUCCUUAGACGGUGCCAACAUGUCACAGCAUGAAACCCGGAAAAGUCUGUGUGACUGAUGUGGACGGUACAUUGAUCUAUGUGUCUCCAUAAUGUGACAUAAAAACAAUGGUCUUGUUAGUGUUCCAGCACUCGGAGAACACAUCUAUCUUAUCUGCUUGGUCCUCUGAGCAACACUAAGCUCUUAGGACAGACAUUUUUUUUGGUGCUCAAUCUGCGAAGGAAAGAGAAUCUUAUUCUACUCUGGGGUGAGAAGAGUACCCCAGAACCCCAUGCUUCCCAACCCACUGAUAACGACUCUGGGAAAGUGCAUUCCACAGGAUCCUUUGCAGGUCUCAGCCAACGGAUCUCCUCAGAAAAAACUGAGGAGGACUUCUCAGGUGACUCUGGCCAGUCUGGGAGGGAGAUCUGGCCUCUCACAUUGUGAUCCCCCUAAGACAACUGUAUUGUUCACCUGCCCCCAUCCCCAGGAAUAUAAAGCCACUGAUGACCUAGUCUUUUUACUGAGAGUCUUUUUGAGUGCUAAAAACAUGACCUGUAUCCAGAUGCUGCUCUUCUUCUGAAGCUGCUCCGAGGGACAGGAUGGAAGGCACCAGCCUCCACCAGCACAUGUCUGGACCUGUAGCUGAUGGCACUAUGAGAUGGAGCCUCACCCCCACUGCUUGAAGGUUUAGUCCCCUCACCCCUCGGGAGAAUCUCAUACCCCUCACAUUUAGCCAGUUCUAGGGAGUUUGUGCAUUUUUCUUAAGACUAGAUGCUAGAGCUAGGAUGAAGGUGUAUGCUUAUAAUCCCAGGACUCUGGGGGCUUAGUCAGGAGACGAGCCAUAAAUUCAAGGCCAGCCUGGGCUAUAUAAGGAGCAGUAGUCUAGCUUUGGUGGCACUGUGAGAUACUUCUCUCUCUAAAACAUAGAAAGUGAACAACAGGACUAGUAUUCCGUGUGCCUUGCAUGCACACUGGUUCUUGGCCCUGGGUUCUUGUCCAGUAUAAAAUAAAACCAGGUGGAGCAUGCUGGGAAUCCCAGUAUUGGAGGGUGGAGACAAGAGGAUCAGGCGGUCAAGGUCAUCUUCCAACAUGGAGAGAUGGAGGUCAGUCUAGGAGGAAUGGCACUAUUUUAAAAGCAAACAACCCCUACCCCAAAUCUUAAUGCCCAAAUCUGAGAAAAGAGUGACAUGGCAGCCCAUUACAACCACAUAUUCCGUGUGAAUCAGAAGACCUUUCUGAUAGAGAGAAGAAAGUCGGCCAUCUAGAUGUGCAGUGCAGUAAUUUUUUUCCCUGUGACUCACAUCUGGAAUUGGCCUGAGCAUUGAGUUCAUCCCCUGUGCACAGCACUGAAGAGUUCAAUAAGUACUUCCUGCUGGCCCUGUGGGAGGCACUGGGGAACUGUGUGAGUAGUGUUCCCUGGUGAUGCUGUGGGAGGCAGUCUGGAGGAAGGUUUGGAGAGCAUGGAGACCCCAACCUGUGCCAAUAGGAAAGGCAGGAAGGCUGCUGGCCCUGCAACCUGUCAGAAACUCUGGUGUUGUGCCGCCCCCUUGUGGCACUUCUAUACCAGUUCCCUGUUAGUGCACCUGGUUGGCCGAGGUCCCUGCUUCACCUGGUGCCAACAACUGGGGUGGUUGGGUGGGUUUGUGGGUGGGGUGGGGGAGGCUUGCUCGGCUAUACCCAUCUAACAUGAUUUUGUCCUUCCUUCCUUUCAUUCCUUUUCCCCAUUAUCAUAGUAAAGGAACAAAAUACCCUUCAUAGCUCUGCUGACCAGGAGAUGGCCUUGAAGAAACUGCAGAGACACACACUGCUGUUCCAGGCUGUGUUGUUCAUAAGGCUAGACAACUGGGCAGCGAGUCAAGAGUGUGAAAUUGACACUCUGGGCGAGAUUCAGAAGCACAAGAGGACUGGGACAGUGAAUGUCUGUUUUUACAUUACCUGCUUCUUUUGUGAGAUAGGAAUUUGUUCCCCAGAAUGCAAGAAAGAGUGAGCAGACUUGCUGAAGCUUGUCACCCCAGCACUUGGAGAUGGAGACAGGUGCAUCUCCUUUUUUGUUUUGUUUUG